rnacentral:rRNA from 1 species
CCCUUAGAUGUUCUGGGCCGCACGCGCGCUACACUGAUGCACUCAACGAGUCUAAAACCUGCUCUGAUAGGGGUGGGUAAUCUUUUGAAUGUGCAUCGUGAUUGGGAUAGAUGAUUGCAAUUUUCCAUCUUCAACGAGGAAUGCCUAGUAAACGCAAGUCAUCAGCUUGCAUUGAUUACGUCCCUGCCCUUUGUACACACCGCCCGUCGCUCCUACCGAUUGAAUGAUCCGAUGAAUAUCAUGGAUUGAGGAUUAUAGCAGGUUCGCCUGUCUUGAUCUUCGAGAAGUGAAGUAAAUCUUAUCAUUUAGAGGAAGGAGAAGUCGUAACA